rnacentral:sRNA from 1 species
AGAAAGUAGUGUGUAUAAAAAAAAUACCCUAUAAACUCAGAGGGCUAUUUACAUUACAAAAUUAAUUAAAAAAUACAAUACAUGGCUAAAGCAAAUGCAAAACAAAGAAAAAGAAAACAAUUUUUGGAUCACAGUAAAAUGAUCAUUGUUCUACACAUGAUCUGAACAGUACACCAAUUCUUACCUACCCUCAUUAAGAGCAUCCUUAAGGAUCGGUUUAGAAACAUUUACGGGUGAAUAGUCUGCAGCACCCACCAUGCUGGUACUUCCCGACGACUGGUAACUUGUAUUGAAUCCUUUGACCGCGUUUUCAGUCAUGAAGCUGCUAACAUCAUCAAAUUUCCAGUCACUAAGGUAUCCAGGCUUUGAAGUAACAGUGUUCACUUCAAUAUCUCCUGAAAGCAUUGCCACCACUCGUGACAUCGAUGGCCUUAAUGAUGGUGAUGUCUGAGUGCACAGAAGUGCUAUUCCCACAAUACGUUUUACUUCUUCCUCAUUGAAUUCUGAAAGUCUAGGGUCCACCAGAUCCAUUAUGAGGUUGCUUUCAUGA